rnacentral:misc_RNA from 1 species
ACCAGGUAGCAUUCCUCUUUGCCGCCGACACCGCAUGAGUAACAGGACAAAUAUCGUCCUGGAGUCAACACGGGGCACGCCAGGCUUUUGUAAGGGACAAUUGAUUCGGGCAAAAAGGGGACAAGGACCCCGACCGAUCAUGCUUCUACAUACAAGACUUCGAGCGACACUUGGGCGUCCGACACCUGCAAGCUACAUAGGCAAAGCAAGGGCGGACGUCCAUGGAAGCUUCAGUGUCUACAUCGCACAAAACAUUUUGGCACGAGAUAGAAUAGGGACCGUGGGACUAGACAAUUCCGAAAAAUAGGUAUGCUACACAGGGGGCCAAGACGAUCCAAGGCAAAAUAUUUAGCGCGCUCGGACAGAAUUGAACAGGUGUGAACCAGCGGUUGUCGCUACCGGGGCAGGGAACCAACCGACCGGAACAUACC